rnacentral:misc_RNA from 1 species
GAUAUAGGUCAUAACCUGGUUUUGCUUGACCAUAUGCUGAAUUCGAUUGCUCCUGCUGGAAAAAAGAUGAUAACCUUCAGCUCUGAGCAGAGGCAGCAGGAUUGGCACUUGGAAAUGAGGCUACCCCAGUGCCAUUAUCUGGAUUGACAUUCUCUUCACUUGCGUGCCUAACAAAUUCCUCGGGAAGCAUAUGGGAACCAUGGCAAGCACAAACAAUUCUGAUUUGGUUUGCACUGUAUCUGUAAGUGACACCAGAAAUUGUUCUGCCAUGAGGGCCAGAACCUGUGGUUGAAACCCAUGGUAAAUUUGGAUAGGAACCACAUCCACCAAAUUUUAUGUCUGAUGCAAUACCGGGCUUUAUGGCAGAAAAAUCAUAGGAGAAACCUUCUGCUGUUGAUGGCCCAGGCGCAUCUUUUGCCCCAAGG